rnacentral:lncRNA from 1 species
GGGACCUCUGAUAGAAUGGACUUGUGGUGGCAAAAAAUGUUGUUGGGCACGGUGACUCAUGCCUGUCAUCCCAAUUACUCAGGAGGCUGAGGUGGGAGGAUUGCUUGAGGCCAGGAGCUCAAGACCAGCCUAGGCAGUAUAGUGAGAUCCCAUCUCUAAAAAAACAAACAAAAAGUCAUUGCUAACCAAUGUCCAGAAAAAAGGAUUUCUCGAUUCUCGGAUGGGAGAAUUCAGGUCCCUGUAGUGGACGCAGGGGCACCAGGUCCUCAACAUCAAUGGCCUGCAAUCCUUUAAGGUUGGGCAACUCCGUGCGUAAGCACUGGCACAAGCUACCGUGUGCAAGUGAUCUGGUGUUCCAUGGAGGAAGGAAUGUGCUGACAGGCAGAUACAAGCAUUCCCAUGUGCUGGGAGCGGUGCUGUUCCGUGUGAAUUAAUGAAGUGGCACUUGGGCUUAUCAAUCACGCUGCUCUGAUUUUGGCUAGCAAGUCAGUCAUGUGGGCUGCUAGUAAGCCUGCUUAUUCCUGAGCCAAGUGCUAGACUCGAGUUCCUAGGAUGCCAAGCUAGGGAUCACAUCUUGCCGGCCCCUGCCUGAACCUCUCCCUUUGACCACUCUUCAAAUCCAGGGGGUCCUGUGUCCAUUUAGUGUUGCUCCUAAAGGUGCAGUGCUCACAGAACCUGGUGACAGAACUCCCUCCUGGAACCUCGCUUGGGGACAGUAAAGGACUGAGAUAACCAGAUAGCCAUGGAGACACUUGUUCCUGGGGAGCCCAGGGAUACUGGCUUGAACCUGACCCCAGGCUGGGAGGCGUCCCUGAGUGCUUUUCAUUCUCUGGGUGGGGGGGGGGUUGGGUGGGAGGCUGGGCAGCUUGCACGGCUGAGUCCCCGCUUCCACUGCCUUGCUUCAGGCUGUGAUGGCCUCGGUGGCUGCGACCUGCUGCUGCCACCUCUGUGUUCUGUGGACAGGUGUGCACCUGUCAUUUCCAAGAAAAAGAUCACGCACACAAAGGCCUUUGUGUAUGUAGCAGACUUUACUGAAGAUUUGGAGAGAUGAAGGGGUUUUACAUAGCAAAAAUACAAAAAAAACUGAAGGUUGAGUAUUAGACAUCCAUGAGCUGAAGAAGACUCAGCCACUUCUACCAAUGGGGCUCCCGCCUUCUACGAAGGCACCUGACCACCUCUCCCUGCUGUUUCUCAGGAAGCUGAAUGAAAGCCAGAUUUCCUGACAGUUUCUUAGAGUAUUUUAGUCCUCCAUUUGCUCUGCCCUCCCCCCCUUUUUUUUUUUUUUUUUUUUUUUUUGAGAUAGGGCCCUGCUCUGUUGCCCAGGCUGGAGUGCAAUGAUGUAAUCUCAGCUCACUGCAUUCCUGACCUCCUGUGCUCAAGCGAUCCUCCCACCUCAGCCUCCCAAGUCACUGGGACUACAAGAGCACGCCACCAUGCCCUGCUAAUUUUUCUAUUUUUUUGUAGAGAUGGGGUUUUGCCAUGUUGCCCAGGCUGGGCUCAAGUGAUCCUCCCGCCUCAGCCUCCCAAAGUGCUGGGAUUACAGGUGUGAGCCACAGCACCCGGUCUGUCUUUCCUUUCUAGACCUUCCCUUGGGACCUCUUUCUCCCCUUAAUGGGCCACAAAGUUAUCUCCCCGAUUUAGAACACUCCCUCCCCUUUCCUGACACCCAGAUGAGGACGAAAAUCUAAAAGCACAACCUUGCACGGGGCAGUUUUCGCUAAACCAAGACUCAAGGUCUUCUCCUCACCUUCUUUGAGGGACAUUAGAGCUUUUUUUCUCUAAAAAUAAGUAUGCGUGCAUGUGCGUGUGUUUUAGGGGCAGGAAGGUCGGAGCAUUUAUUCCCAUUUCACAAAUGAGAUUAUGAAGUUCCCUAGAGGGUGUCUGUCCAAGAUCACAUGACUUGUAAGAGGUCAAUUCAAUCACUGGCCUGGCUUAACUUUAAGUUCUUUUUUUUUUUUUUUUUUCUUUGGGAGACAGAGUUUCGUUCUUGUUGCCCAGGCUGGAGUGCAGUGGCGCGGUCUCGGCUCACUGCAACCUC